GCCUUCGUGGUGCAGUGGUCUGUACGCUCGACGCGUAUUCGAGAGGUCUGUGGUUCGAGUCCCGGAGAAGGCA
rnacentral:tRNA from 1 species